rnacentral:lncRNA from 1 species
UCAGCUAAUAACGUGGUUUGGGAAGGGAGUUUGAAAAGAGAAGAUAAAGAAAGAAAUACUCAUCUAGGAGAGUAGGAGUGUGGAUGGACUAGAAAAAAGAAAAGAAAUCCUUGGUCCCCAACAUGGAAAUCCAAGACGCAAAGAAAUCAUAGGCUCUGAUCACCUGGGGAAGAAACCGCUGCAGACCAAAUUGCAUCUUAGAUCCAUUAAAUCAGAAACUUGGAUUGCUGGAUUCAGGUACAAGUAUUUUUAAAGCUCCCUGAGUGAUUAUAAUGUAUAGCCAAAGUUGAGAACCACUGCUUUGGAGCCACUGGUCUAAUGGAACAAAUAGCAUUGAUUUACU